CACCCUUCAAAGCAACAAAUUCUUCUAUUUGUUCCACAUCAUAGUAAUCAUAUACACAAUUAGCAUAAGAAGCUAAAGUUUCAUUCUCAUUAAAUUCACAUUGAAAGGGGAGGUGUGGAGCCUCCAUGUUAGAGCAACAAGUACAAUCAUAUCUUAAGCAUAAAUUCCAAGCAUACCCACACCGAUGACCGGCCCUCCUGCCGGAAUAGGUAGCGAAGACACUUUCCACCACCCUGCCGGCCACUGCCGCCGCUGGAAACCACACUCGUGCCGGCCUCCCACUGGAGCCAAGAGAGCUUGAAAACUGACGGCGGUUGGAGGAGAAGACAACCGGCAAGAAGGGUCGCGGCUACCAAGUGCUCGACGAAAUGCCGACAAGUGUGGAUAUGAACACGGCCGUAUUUUUAGCGUCUUUGGAGUCCUCGGCGGUGAUGGUGCUAGAUGAUCUCAAUUAUGACUUAGUUUGGGAUCUUUCGGAGGCGGCCGAAGAGAUGGAAGAAGAGGAGGUGGCCGACGAAGAUGAAGUUGAGGAGGUGGCUGAAGCAAGCAUGCGGUCGUCAAGGUCACGCACCGCCAACUACAAUCAAGUUGAAGAUGUUGCUCUAUGCUAUGCUUGAAUGAACAUCUUCAUGGAUGCAAUGAUUGGAACGAAUCAAACCAAGACUAUGUUUUGGGGGAGUUACGGACUACUACAACAAGUCCGUGGAGGUGCAAUCAAGCCGUACGCAAGGUUCUCUUGGGUAUCGUUGGAGCACCAUUUACGACCAAUGCAACCGAUGGUCCGGUUGCAUCAAUCAAGUGAAUCAUGUACCAGCAAGCGGUGUGCAAGUGGCGGAGUAUGGCCCCUACAUCAAAGAACUAUUCAAGCAUAGGAACACAAGUUCGGCCACAAGCCCUUCAUGUUGCAUCAUUGCUACAAAGAGCUAUGCAAGAACGAGAAGUGGAUCCAAAGAGUUUCGGAGACCACUCCAAAGAGACAAGGUUGAGCAUAUCUGUUGAGGAGGACAACGAGGUUGAUGAAGAGGCCAACAAUAGACUGAAAGGGAACGAAAUUGCAAAAAAAAAGAAAAGAAGAGAUAUGCGUACGUUGGCACAUACAAAGAAGAACUUGUGGCCAUGAUUGAGGCCAAGAAGUUGUUGGCGACCGAACGCAAAGAAGAUAAGAUGGCGAGGUGGAAUGAGCUUUGGAGGAUGAGAAAUGAAAGGCCAAGUUGGUGGCGGAGGAGAGAAAGUUGAAGGUGGAGGAGUGUAGACUUGCACUUGAGGAGGAGAGGAUUCGUGUUGCCAAGAAAGCCGCAGACCGUGCUAUCAUGUUCAUGAAUCCAAACACAAUGGAUGAAACCGCAAGAAAGUAUUGAGAGCUCACUCGUGGGGACAUCUUGACCCAAACGGAAAGCUCUCUUCGGAAUGGUGGUCUUGGUGGAGGCCAAGAGGAUGGUGGUGGUGGUGGUGGCGGUGGUGGUGGUGAUGAUGGUGGUGGCGGCGGCCGGGACGAUGGUGGUAGUGAUGGUGUCCAAGAGGAUGGUAGUGGUGGCGGCGGUGACGAUUUCUUUGCCGAGGACUUCGUUUGAGUUCGUGCAUGCCAUUGGUUGGCUCGAUCCACAACAUACACAUGUUAUGUUUGUGGUGAUUUUGGGUCAAACUUUGUGUUUGAAGUAAUGCAUUUUGGGUGAACAAGGCAUGUUUGAAUUUGAAAUUCGUGAUGAUGAAAUUUAUGCUUUUUAA